rnacentral:rRNA from 1 species
GACGAACGCUGGCGGCGUGCCUAAUACAUGCAAGUCGAGCGGACGAAUCGAAAGCUUGCUUUUGAUUCGUUAGCGGCGGACGGGUGAGUAACACGUGGGCAACCUGCCCUGUAGACGGGGAUAACACCGAGAAAUCGGUGCUAAUACCGGAUAACACGAAAUGUCGCAUGACGUUUCGUUGAAAGACGGCGCAAGCUGUCGCUACAGGAUGUGCCCGCGGCGCAUUAGCUAGUUGGUGAGGUAACGGCUCACCAAGGCGACGAUGCGUAGCCGACCUGAGAGGGUGAUCGGCCACACUGGGACUGAGACACGGCCCAGACUCCUACGGGAGGCAGCAGUAGGGAAUCUUCCGCAAUGGACGAAAGUCUGACGGAGCAACGCCGCGUGAGCGAAGAAGGCCUUCGGGUCGUAAAGCUCUGUUGUUAGGGAAGAACAAGUAACGCAGUAACUGGCGUUACCGUGACGGUACCUAACGAGAAAGCCGCGGCUAACUACGUG